GCUGAUUUGGCCAAGUGGUCUAAGGCGGGUGACUUAAGAUCCCCUCCCGGAAACGGGGCGUGAGUUCGAACCUCACAGUCAGCA
rfam:Basidiobolus meristosporus CBS 931.73 K493scaffold_413, whole genome shotgun sequence.